UACGUAGGGGGCAAGCGUUGUCCGGAUUUAUUGGGCGUAAAGAGCGUGUAGGCGGCCAGGUAGGUCCGUUGUGAAAACUGGAGGCUUAACCUCCAGACGUCGAUGGAAACCGUAUGGCUAGAGUCCGGAAGAGGAGAGUGGAAUUCCUGGUGUAGCGGUGAAAUGCGCAGAUAUCAGGAAGAACACCCGUGGCGAAGGCGGCUCUCUGGGACGGUACUGACGCUGAGACGCGAAAGCGUGGGGAGCGAACAGG
rnacentral:rRNA from 1 species